UACGUAGGGUGCGAGCGUUAAUCGGAAUUACUGGGCGUAAAGCGUGCGCAGGCGGUCUUGUAAGCCAGAUGUGAAAUCCCCGGGCUUAACCUGGGAAUGGCAUUUGGGACUGCAAGGCUUGAGUGCGGCAGAGGAGACUGGAAUUCCUGGUGUAGCAGUGAAAUGCGUAGAUAUCAGGAGGAAUACCGAUGGCGAAGGCAGGUCUCUGGGCUGACACUGACGCUCAUGCACGAAAGCGUGGGGAGCAAACAGG
rnacentral:rRNA from 1 species